rnacentral:rRNA from 1 species
CAGGUAGGACUACCCGCUGAACUUAAGCAUAUCAUNAA